rnacentral:rRNA from 1 species
GCGGCAACAGCUCAAAUUUGAAAUCUGGCCCUCGGGUCCGAGUUGUAAUUUGUAGAGGAUGCUUUUGGUGCGGUGCCUUCCGAGUUCCCUGGAACGGGACGCCAUAGAGGGUGAGAGCCCCGUCUGGUUGGACACCAAGCCUCUGUAAAGCUCCUUCGACGAGUCGAGUAGUUUGGGAAUGCUGCUCUAAAUGGGAGGUAUAUGUCUUCUAAAGCUAAAUACCGGCCAGAGACCGAUAGCGCACAAGUAGAGUGAUCGAAAGAUGAAAAGCACUUUGAAAAGAGGGUUAAAUAGUACGUGAAAUUGUUGAAAGGGAAGCGCUUGUGACCAGACUUGAGCCCGGUUAAUCAUCCAGCCUUCUGGCUGGUGCACUUGGCCGGCUCAGGCCAGCAUCAGUUCGGCGUGGGGGAUAAAGGCUUCGGGAAUGUGGCUCCUCCGGGAGUGUUAUAGCCCGUUGCGUAAUACCCUGUACUGGACUGAGGUUCGCGCAUCUGCAAGGAUGCUGGCGUAAUGGUCAUCAGCGACCCGUCUUGAAACACGGACCAAGGAGUCGUCUUCGUAUGCGAGUGUUCGGGUGUCAAACCCCUACGCGUAAUGAAAGUGAACGCAGGUGAGAGCUUCGGCGCAUCAUCGACCGAUCCUGAUGUUCUCGGACGGAUUUGAGUAAGAGCAUACGGGGCCGGACCCGAAAGAAGGUGAACUAUGCCUGUAUAGGGUGAAGCCAGAGGAAACUCUGGUGGAGGCUCGCAGCGGUUCUGACGUGCAAAUCGAUCGUCAAAUAU